GUUCAGUGAGCUAUUUAAGGAAAAAGAUCACUGUGUAAAGCAAGAGGGAUAUUCAAAGAGAACAUAUUGAGAAAUAAAGAACUAAAAGCAAGGCAAAACCUUAAGUACUGGAGAUGGGCCUGGCACAGAGAAGAUGGGAAAGAAGAGAGAAGGAAUAAAAAGGAAAGAGGAUACAAUCUACCUCAGAGAUAAUUGGAAAGAGAAUCAUGUCAGAAUGCUGAAAAAAAGGAAACAGUGAGAGGCAAGCUCAGCUGACGGCUGGGGAAUGAAAAAGGAGCAAUUAUCCCUGUUUGCUGUGAAACUAGAUUAGUCUGGCUUUUCUAAGAAACUGGCAGUCCUCACCACCAGCCAGGACACUGCUUUGAUUUUCACUUGUGCACAGCUGCCUUUAAAAGUGACCUUGAUGGAAU